rnacentral:rRNA from 1 species
UACGUAGGGAGCGAGCGUUGUCCGGAUUUAUUGGGCGUAAAGGGCGUGUAGGCGGCUUGUUAAGUCUGGAGUGAAAAUCCGGGGCUCAACCCCGGAACUGCUUCGGAUACUGGCGAGCUUGAGUGCUCUAGAGGGCAGUGGAAUUCCCGGUGUAGCAGUGAAAUGCGUAGAGAUCGGGAGGAACACCAGUGGCGAAGGCGACUGCCUGGGGAGUAACUGACGCUGAGGCGCGACAGCGUGGGGAGCAAACAGG